GUCCUUUUGAUUUUUAUAUAAGGUCUGACCUGCCCUAUGAAUAUUUAAAUGGCCGCGGUAUACUAACCGUGCAAAGGUAGCAUAGUCAUUUGUCUCUUAAUUGGAGGCUUGAAUGAAGGGUUGGACGAGAUAUAAGCUUUCUUUGUUAUAUUUUAUUGAAUUUGACUUUUGAGUUAAAAGGCUUAAAUUUUUUUAUAGGACGAGAAGACCCUAUAGAAUUUUAUAUAUUUGUAUAAUUGAUUUAUUUAUUUAUUAUUUAAUUUCUUGUUUAAAUAUAUUUUGUUGGGGCGAUGGGAAGAUUUUAAUAACUCUUUUUUGUUUUGAUCAUUGAUUUAUGUUUUAUUCUGAUCCUUUUUUUAGAGAUUAUAAGAUUAAAUUACCUUAGGGAUAACAGCGUAAUUCUUUUGGAGAGUUCUUAUCGAUAAAAGAGUUUGCGA
rnacentral:rRNA from 1 species